AAUUCAUCAAAUUAAUAUCAUAUAUCUGUAUAUAUAUAGUUUAUCUAAUUGCUAUCUCAUUUUGAAUCAUUAUAUUCGAAUAGCAUGUGUGUGUCCGUAUGCCCGACAUAGGCUCCUAAUUUGAAAAUAAAAUAUGCUUAAUAUGUAAUUUUUAAUAUAAGCAUCAAUGACUAUGUCCAAAACGGAUUUUACAAAACAUUAAAAAAAACCACAAGACUCGACAACCACUAAACAUGAGGGAAUACAUUUAGAUAUAUAUUUAAAAGUAUAAAACUGCACCCGUCUUGUUAGUGUGAGUAAGCAUUCAGAACAAUCCAGCAUCAAUCAACAUAUUGUUU
rnacentral:lncRNA from 1 species